UACGUAGGCAGCGAGCGUUGUUCGGAGUUACUGGGCGUAAAGCGUGCGUAGGCGGUGUCUUAAGUUUGUUGUGAAAUCUCCCGGCUUAACCGGGAGGGUGCGGCGAAUACUGAGAUGCUGGAGUGCCGGAGAGGUAAGCGGAAUUCCUGGUGUAGCGGUGAAAUGCGUAGAUAUCAGGAGGAACACCUGCGGUGUAGACGGCUUACUGGACGGUAACUGACGCUGAGGCACGAAAGCGUCGGUAGCAAACAGG
rnacentral:rRNA from 1 species